UACGUAGGGUGCAAGCGUUAAUCGGAAUUACUGGGCGUAAAGCGUGCGCAGGCGGUUUUGUAAGUCUGUCGUGAAAUCCCCGGGCUCAACCUGGGAAUGGCGAUGGAGACUGCAAGGCUAGAGUUUGGCAGAGGGGGGUAGAAUUCCACGUGUAGCAGUGGAAAUGCGUAGAGAUGUGGAGGAACACCGAUGGCGAAGGCAGCCCCCUGGGUCAAAACUGACGCUCAU
rnacentral:rRNA from 1 species